rnacentral:rRNA from 1 species
AUAACGGUCCUAAGGUAGCGAAAUUCCUUGUCAGGUAAGUUCUGACCCGCACGAAAGGUGUAACGAUUUGAGCACUGUCUCGACAACACGCCCGGUGAAAUUGAAGAACCAGUGAAGAUACUGGUUACCCGCAACAGGACGGAAAGACCCCAUGGAGCUUUACUGCAGCUUAAUAUUGGGAUUCGGUAUUGUAUGUACAGGAUAGGAGGGAGACUAAGAAGCUAGCACGCCAGUGUUGGUGGAGUCGAUGGUGGGAUACCUCUCUUAUAAUACUGAAUUUCUAACCUACUUCCGUGAUCCGGAAGAGGGACAUUGUUAGGCGGGCAGUUUGACUGGGGCGGUCGCCUCCGAAAGAGUAACGGAGGCGCUCAAAGGUCUUCUCAGAAUGAUUGGAAACCAUUCAAAGAGUGUAAAGGCAAAAGAAGGCUUGACUGCGAGAGUGACAACUCGAGCAGGUACGAAAGUAGGACUUAGUGAUCCGGUGGUAACAAGUGGGAGUGCCAUCGCUUAACGGAUAAAAGCUACCCUGGGGAUAACAGGCUUAUCUCCCCCAAGAGUUCACAUCGACGGGGAGGUUUGGCACCUCGAUGUCGGCUCAUCGCAUCCUGGAGCUGUAGUCGGUUCCAAGGGUUGGGCUGUUCGCCCAUUAAAGCGGUACGCGAGCUGGGUUCAGAACGUCGCGAGACAGUUCGGUCCCUAUCUAUCACGGGCGUAGGAAAUUUGAGGAGAGCUGACCUUAGUACGAGAGGACCGGGUUGGACGUACCGCUGGUGCACCUGUUGUUCUGCCAAGGGCAUAGCAGGGUAGCUAAGUACGGACGGGAUAAACGCUGAAGGCAUCUAAGCGUGAAGCCCCCUUCGAGAUAAGAUUUCCCAUAGCGUAGGCUAGUAAGGACCCAUGAAGACUACAUGGUUGAUAGGCCGGAGGUGGAAGUGCAGUAAUGUAUGCAGCUGACCGGUACUAAUAGUCCGAGGGCUUGACCAA